UUUAAUGUCAUAAUGUCUAAAGUACCCUUAUAUUAAGUGCAUUUCGGGUUUUGUAUUCCCAUAUCCUAUUGCGAGUAACAUUCCGGGAAUUUAAAGCCUAGAACUUGCCAUUGAAUUCUGAGAUUUAAAUCCCGGAAGUUUCCAGGAAUAUAAUUUUCGGAAUCCAAUUAGUAUGGUUUUCAGGAAUAACUCCGGAAAAGAAAACUUAGUGUCGUGAUCUUUAGAAACCCGGAAUGUUAAAAUAUAUAACUGUCAAACAACACCAAAAUCACGAACUAAAUCACUAAAUGUCUAGAAAAUCAUGAACAAAGUCACCAAAUGUCUAAAAAAUCCAAACAAUGUCACUACAUAGUUCUAUAAAUACAAUCAACAAAAACAGACAUGCAGAAUCAAAAUCAAGAACUAGGUCCUCUGGAAGAAGUGGAUCUGUCUCCCUUAAGCCCUUUACGGUAUACGAAUGGGGAGGUGCGCCGCUGCUUGACAUGGUCUAAGACCCUCUACAUGGUCCCCCAGCAAUGACCCGCAACCGGAGGUGCGUCAUUUACAUUGAGUUUCUCUGUGAGUUAGUCCUCCAUUCGGCACAUGACAUCCUUAAAAGGCCAAAAUUUGAAUGAUAGUGAAACACGAAAUAAAAAGCAUAACUGGAUGUUAGCUACUCUUACCUAAACUUACAGCUCCACCUUGUUGUGCACGCACAUAGUCGGGUAUGAUGAACAUAUGUGAUAUCCGACAUACCAAGGCAUGUAACCGGGGACCAACUGUUCAGGAAAAGCAACCCAAUCCGCAGUGGAUGACUCUAGUGGUAUGAGUCAAGAACACAACAUUUAUCUCCUCCAUGGUGGGUAUCGUGUUUGAGGGGUCCUUGGGAACAACCUGGACGUACCGUGGAAGAUGAAUGUGAUGGCCUCCCUAGAGCUGCGAGAGUAAGAGGAUGGAGAGUGAUAGGUUGGAGAGUCAGCGGAAGUUGUGAGGGAAAUAAAGAGGAAUUAAUGGAGAAGAUGAGAAUAAUGGAGAGGUUGAGGGAGAGGGAAAGGGAGUUGCGAGAGUGAAAAGGGAAUGGAGAUGAGAGAAAUGGAGAGUGAGAGAGAUGGAGAGUGAGAGAGAAUGAAGAAUGAGAUUAAUGGAGAGGGAAAGGGAGUUUGAAGAAGAUGGAGUGGUGGGAGGGGUGAAACGGUUGAAGAAGAUGAAGUGGUGAGAGUAGGGUGUGAAGUUAGA
rnacentral:lncRNA from 1 species